GACGAACGCUGGCGGCGUGCUUAACACAUGCAAGUCGAACGGAAAGGCCCUGCUUUUGUGGGGUGCUCGAGUGGCGAACGGGUGAGUAACACGUGAGUAACCUGCCCUUGACUUUGGGAUAACUUCAGGAAACUGGGGCUAAUACCGGAUAGGAGCUCCUGCUGCAUGGUGGGGGUUGGAAAGUUUCGGCGGUUGGGGAUGGACUCGCGGCUUAUCAGCUUGUUGGUGGGGUAGUGGCUUACCAAGGCUUUGACGGGUAGCCGGCCUGAGAGGGUGACCGGCCACAUUGGGACUGAGAUACGGCCCAGACUCCUACGGGCGGCAGCAGUGGGGAAUAUUGCACAAUGGGCGGAAGCCUGAUGCAGCAACGCCGCGUGCGGGAUGACGGCCUUCGGGAUGUAAACCGCUUUCGCCUGUGACGAAGCGUGAGUGACGGUAAUGGGUAAAGAAGCACCGGCUAACUACGUGCCAGCAGCCGCGGUGAUACGUAGGGUGCGAGCGUUGUCCGGAUUUAUUGGGCGUAAAGGGCUCGUAGGUGGUUGAUCGCGUCGGAAGUGUAAUCUUGGGGCUUAACCCUGAGCGUGCUUUCGAUACGGGUUGACUUGAGGAAGGUAGGGGAGAAUGGAAUUCCUGGUGGAGCGGUGGAAUGCGCAGAUAUCAGGAGGAACACCAGUGGCGAAGGCGGUUCUCUGGGCCUUUCCUGACGCUGAGGAGCGAAAGCGUGGGGAGCGAACAGGCUUAGAUACCCUGGUAGUCCACGCUGUAAACGGUGGGUACUAGGUGUGGGGUCCAUUCCACGGGUUCCGUGCCGUAGCUAACGCUUUAAGUACCCCGCCUGGGGAGUACGGCCGCAAGGCUAAAACUCAAAGGAAUUGACGGGGCCCCGCACAAGCGGCGGAGCAUGCGGAUUAAUUCGAUGCAACGCGUAGAACCUUACCUGGGUUUGACAUGGAUCGGGAGUGCUCAGAGAUGGGUGUGCCUCUUUUGGGGUCGGUUCACAGGUGGUGCAUGGCUGUCGUCAGCUCGUGUCGUGAGAUGUUGGGUUAAGUCCCGCAACGAGCGCAACCCUUGUUCACUGUUGCCAGCACGUUAUGGUGGGGACUCAGUGGAGACCGCCGGGGUCAACUCGGAGGAAGGUGGGGAUGACGUCAAGUCAUCAUGCCCCUUAUGUCCAGGGCUUCACGCAUGCUACAAUGGCUGGUACAGAGAGUGGCGAGCCUGUGAGGGUGAGCGAAUCUCGGAAAGCCGGUCUCAGUUCGGAUUGGGGUCUGCAACUCGACCUCAUGAAGUCGGAGUCGCUAGUAAUCGCAGAUCAGCAACGCUGCGGUGAAUACGUUCCCGGGGCU
rnacentral:rRNA from 1 species